UACGGAGGGUGCGAGCGUUGUCCGGAAUCACUGGGCGUAAAGGGCGCGUAGGUGGCCCGUUAAGUGGUUGGUGAAAUCCCCGGGCUCAACCCGGGAACUGCGUCUGAUACUGGAUGGCUUGAAUCCGGGAGAGGGAUGUGGAAUUCCAGGUGUAGCGGUGAAAUGCGUAGAUAUCUGGAGGAACACCGGUGGCGAAGGCGGCAUCCUGGACCGGUAUUGACGCUGAGGCGCGAAAGCCAGGGGAGCAAACGGG
rnacentral:rRNA from 1 species